rnacentral:rRNA from 1 species
AUUGAACGCUGGCGGCAGGCCUAACACAUGCAAGUCGAGCGGAGCGGCGGACGGGUGAGUAAUGCCUAGGAAUCUGCCUGGUCGUGGGGGCUAACGUCCGGAAACGGGCGCUAAUACCGCAUCCUAUCAGAUGAGCCUAGGCCGGAUUAGCUAGUUGGUGGGGUAACGGCCUACCAAGGCGACGAUCCGUAACUGUUCUGAGAGGAUGAUCAGUCACACUGUAACUGAGACACGGUCCAGAAUCCUACGGGAGGCAGCAGUGGGGAAGAUGGGACAAUGGGCGAAAGCCUGAUCCAGCCAUGCGGCGUGUGUGAAGAAGGUCGUCGGAUGGUAAAGCACUGUAAGUUGGGAGGCGUUACCAACAGAAUAAGCACCGGCUAACUUCGUGCCAGCAGCCGCGGUAAUAC